CUUGCUAGCCAGAUACUGACAUUGAGGCACGAAAGCGUGGGGAGCAAACAGGAUUAGAUACCCUGGUAGUCCACGCCCUAAACGAUGAGUACUAAGUGUUGGUUUAAGAUCAGUGCUGAAGUUAACGCAUUAAGUACUCCGCCUGAGUAGUACGUACGCAAGUAUGAAACUUAAAGGAAUUGACGGGAGCCCGCACAAGCGGUGGAGCAUGUUGUUUAAUUCGACGAUACGCGAAGAACCUUACCAGGUCUUGACAUCCGGUUGUUAGAUAUAGAGAUAUAUUGAGAUUGGCCGAGACAGGUGGUGCAUGGUUGUCGUCAGCUCGUGUCGUGAGAUGUUGGGUUAAGUCCCGCAACGAGCGCAACCCUUAUUUCUAGUUACCAUCAUCCAGUUGGGGACUCUAGAGAGACUGCCAGUGAUAAAUUGGAGGAAGGUGGGGAUGACGUCAAAUCAUCAUGCCCUUUAUGACCUGGGCUACAAACGUGCUACAAUGGCUGAAACAAAGAGAAGCAAAAUCGCGAGAUGGAGCAAACCUCAUAAAAGCAGUCUCAGUUCGGAUUGAAGUCUGCAACUCGACUUCAUGAAGUUGGAAUCGCUAGUA
rnacentral:rRNA from 1 species